ACAAGGUCCUCCUUCACAGCUCCGGGGCCCCAUCUCACCCUCCUCUUCACUCUGCUCAGUGUGCUCUGGCCACACUGCCCUCUUCACCGCUCCUCUGAUAGCCCACGCUCUCUCCAGAUGCAGCUUCAAGGACCACAGAGGGCCAAGUGCAGGAGUAAGAGGCUGGCGUGCUGACAGUGGCCAAGGGCAUUGGAGGGAAGGACCUGUCAUCACUGGGCCAAGGAAGGAACUCCAGACUGCCUACUUCCAGAGGGCCUGCUGAGGAAUUUUAGCUUGAACUUGCCUGCCUUGACUAGGGCUUUCUGAGCAGCAGAUGAUUCUGCAAUGGUGUUAGUCCAGGCCUGGUUCUGCAUGACAUUGACCAUACUGUGCACCCUGGGGUCAUUAUGUCUUGGGCUUCAAGGGGCUCCAUGGGCUCCAGGGGGCUCCAUGUGACACUGCACAGAGCUCUCUCUAGGUCACCUGGAUGUGUCUCUUCCUAGGAACCCCAAAGAGCUCUCUCAACAAACACACCCACGAGUUCCAGGAGUGAGGCUGCAGGGAACAGCCUCACUCUCAGAGGGGAUACAGAAUUGUUCCACUGGACAAGGGCUGGGAUCGUCAUAGGAUGCCGUUGGCCUGUGGUUUCCAACAGAGGUGCAGUUCAUUGAACUGUGGUCUACAGUCCAUUCUCUAACUUGGGGACCCUUGAAGAAGUGUGGAAUCAUGACAACAACCCUGUUGGGAGACACUAUUAUUCCCAUCACAUGGAUGAGCACACGGAGGCAAAAGGAAGUUAUAUGAUUGUCUGAGAUCACCCAGUGAAGACUGUGUGGCUGGGAGUUGUCCCCAGUGUUAUCUGCACGCUGCUUCCUUUUGAUGCCUGGCCCUUCUUUAUCAAAAGAAGCAUUGGCAGAAUCUGGGUGUUUAUGGGUCAGCUCAAAAUAAAUUACUUUAUAUGUCA
rnacentral:lncRNA from 1 species